UCAGGCUGCUGUAGCUGAAGAGUCAUGAAGGAUUGCAACCUUCAUGGUUGGAGAAACAGCACAUCUUGAGAGCUGUGUGGGACAGUCUCAAGUACUCCCACACAGUAGCUGCUGUACAGGGAGCGUUCACUGUCGUGAUUCUUGUGCACUACAGGGGCUGCUGAAGUGAAGGAAAUGAAUGCAAGGGCCACUAAAACAGCCUCAGUUCUUGAUGUAUGUGGAUCUCUGAGAAUACAAGCAGGAAAAAAGCUGCCAAGGUACACUAAGUCACUCUGCAGCCCUCCCUCCAUCUGUGCCUUUGAGAGGUGGCACAGCUCAGCACUUGGUGUCUUUUUAUCCAAGUGGUAGAACUCCAAAAGGUUUUUAUAGCAGGAAGUGGUAGGUGGAGGCAUCCUAAGGGCUGGAGCAAGGCUAAGACACAUCUGCCAGGGAAGCUUGGGUGAGUGGGAGGACGAUGCAAGAACAUGCCUGGCAUGAGAGAGCCUUCCCAGAGACGAACACAGCUGAGAGACAGUGAUCGAGAGUGUAACUGAGUAACAGUCACUGGAGUGGAGUUCAUCCAGGGCUCAGUUUAAGGCCAGAUGUGGAACGUGGCUCACUCCAUUGUACCACAGAGAAGUGGAACAUGAGAUGUGUGAAUCUCCUCUCUUACAUCUUCCCACCUUUCCCCUCUCUCCAAGCAGGAGAAGAAACUUUAUGGAAUGAGAGCAUUCUUUCCUUAAAGCCAAAGCAACCUUAUCACUCCUCCCAGUAUUCUUUUCACAGUCUUUAUAGACUGCUCCGUUGUUACUGAGCAACUGCUGUCUCUGCUGGAGCAGAACAAUGUUGUGAGCUGAGACUUAGCCCUCGACUUGGAGCUAGAGGACAGAUUGGCUCUCCCAGAUCAGCUGGAGCAGUGAAUAUAAAGAAGCUAAGGAAACAAGUCUGCUUACUGGAACUUGAGCCAUCAUUUCUACAUCCUUUUGCAAAACCAAAACUGAAAGCAUAUGAACUGCAACUGCUGAAGUGAACAUGUUCAUCUAGGAAAGUUGUACUGAAGCCUUUUCUAGGGGAAAAUGAUUCAUAUGACUUAGCAUAGGAAAAGAGGAUGAUUUCCUUUGUUUAAAACUCCAGGGAGAAUUCCUUAUUUGGAAACUGUGUGCAGAUCCUCCCUCUGGGAGAAUCUGUUUGCUGUUUCCUAAGGGUGUGUUCCUAGCUGUGAGAACAGCCCAGAUUUUAAAGGCAGAAGACUUUUUUUCCCCACUAGGAAUGCAGUCUACCAAGCUGCUUCAGCAGCUUCUCUGUCCAGCUGAACAUUUACAUUUCAUUUGAGUAGUGAAUUUAAUUAUCUGCUUGGAGGAUACAGAUUGAAUGAUCAUCUUGCUGUUUCAUCCUCUUUGGACUCUAAACUUAAACCAGACAGGUAGUAGUUUUAGCCAUUUAGGUGAAACAGCAGGUGGUUUGAUUAGGAAAACACAGGAUGUAGCAAGAGAUGGGAAAUCAUACAGCUGGAAGGAAUUAAGCCUCUCCCUGUAAGAGGCUGUAUUUGCAAUGGCUUCAGGAGUGGUUUGCAUUCAUUCACUAAAGCAGCAGCACAGGAUUUUUAGAAUGGGGUUUCUGUGCCUGGCAGCAAACUAGAAAAUGUCAGAGUGACUGGGAAAAUUCCUGAGGAUUUAUGUUUUGAGCUAAUGCUUAAUCAGAAUUUACAAAAGGCAACCAAUCUGAUAGAGUGGUGAGAUAGGAGGCAGGUCAGACACAAAAUCUCUAUUAUAACAUUAGUAAUAACAUUAGGGAACCAUAACGAGUAGCUUUGUUUCAGAAGUAGGCUGUAUAAUAUACCCUGUGUUGAAUGUAAGGUGUGUAAUUAGAUCUUCCUGUUAAACUUGUUUCUGGAGGGCUAAUAUUCCUGUCUGCUCUGGGGCAGGGAAAGAAAAGAAAAGCCAGGAAUUCAGAAAAAAAGGCUGUAGAAGACACACCAGACAGAAGACACUCCAGGCAGAAAGGGGAAAACCCUAAGUUUGCAUUUUUGUGGUCCCAUUAAGCUGAUAGACAUGACCAAGAGCCAGGCUGGGGAACUUGGUCAGGUGCUAUCAUUUGCAGGAGCAGAGAGAAGUCAUGCAGGUAGGUAAGUGGAUUAGUGCAGGAUUAUCUAUUGCUAGUACAACUGUCAUGGUCAGAUGUCCUCUCAAGACCUAAAGGGACAGGAGAAGAGAAGUUACAGGUCUUCAUCCUGUUCUGGUACCAUAUUAUCUGCGAAAAUGAGGUCCUCAUGUUCUACAUGUGGUCAGUAGCUGCCUCUAAGAAGGACACAAUCUGGAGGCUGCUGUGAGCUGCAUGUUCUGCAUCCAGGCUAGUUUCUCCUAGUAAGAUGAAGAGCCAUUCCUGGAGCAGCUGGAGGCUGUGCUGUACUGUCAGUGCCCCCAAGGACUUGAAGGGAAAUUAGUCAUGUACGGUGGAGGAGUGGGAAGGAAAAGAUGAUAAACAACAACACAAAAAAAAGGUCACUUGCAUUUUUGGGCUUGACUUUCCUUCCAAACCUGAACUUUCUCCUGAUGGAAGCAAUGCAGCAGCCAUGGAUUCCAAAAGGAAGAGAGACAUAAAACCAUUAUUGUGGGUGAUCUUAGCUCUUGCUUCCCUCCUUUACAAUGGAAUAAUACAAUUUCUUCUUUCUUCUGUCUGCACAGGAGGUCAAAUAGACCAAAGAGCAUCUGUACUGCCGCAGGGAAUUGUGAAAAAUAAGCUACAGCCUGACAUUAGCUGGAGCCCUGUUCUACAGGCCCACCCCAUCCCUUGGCAGCCAAGCAGAGCAGGGCUGUACCCACCCAUGCUAGGGGCACAGCUUUGCCAUUACAGCUCAGCAGCUAAAAUAGAAACCUGCUUCCUGGAUUCCUCUUUAUGAUAGCAUCAAAAUCUCUAAACCCUUGCAGUACCUGAUACUGAAGUAGGUUGCUCUGUACACCAGGCAAGUCUCCCCAUUACGAGUUCUUCCAAUAUUUCACACUUUCAGGUUUGGCCUUUUAUAUCAAUUUGGUGGUUUUGGUGGGGUUUGGUAGCAGCCAUUAUUUGCCCCCCUCACAGUGUAAGUCAGCCUCUUCUAUUUCAUGAGCGUGUACUUUUGGCAGCAGCCUUUCAAAAAGAUCAGAGACUCUCAGGUCUUUAAUAUACAACUGUUAAUUAGAUCUACUGCAAUUAAAUCUAAAUAAAGAUUUGCUGUCUAAGCUAUUUAGCUCUGUUAAGACCAUUCAGCCAUCAAAUAAACCUGCCUUGUUCUGCUCAAACA